CAUGUCUAAGAACAUGUCAAUUAACGAUGAAUCUGCGAACGGCUCAUUACAACAGCAAUAAUAUACUCAAUCUUUAUCCUAAACGGAUAACUGCGAUAAUUUUGGAGCUAAUACGUGCAGAAAAGCGCUGACCGCAAGGGACGCGCGCAUUUAUUAGAUUAAGACCAAUAUGGGUUAAUAGCCCUAUUGGCGAACUCUGAAUAACUAUCGCUGAUCGCAUGGUCUUGUACCGGCGACGUAUUGAUUGAGUUUCUGCCUUAUCAACUAUUGAUGACAGCGUAUGUAACUGUCAUGGUUGUUACGGGUAACGGAGAAUCAGGGUUCGACUCCGGAGAGGGAGCCUGAGAAACGGCUACCACAUCCAAGGAAGGCAGCAGGCGCGUAAAUUACCCACUCUCAAUACGAGGAGGUAGUGACUAUCAAUAACGAGACAGGACCCUUCGGGUCUUGUUAUUGGAAUGGGAACAAUUUAAACCCUUUAUCGAGAACCUAUGAGAGGGCAAGUCUGGUGCCAGCAGCCGCGGUAAUUCCAGCUCUCAAGGCGUAUAUCGUCCUUGCUGCGGUUAAAAAGCUCGUAGUUGGAUCUGAGUUCACGACCACGGUACCGCAUGUCGGUUAACCGUUGUGUCUGAACUGUAAAGUCGGUUUUCUGCGCCUCUGGCGUAUGUGGCUGGCUAGAUUACCUUGAAUAACUCAGGUUGUUCAUGAAAGGCUUUAUGCCUAUAUGAUGUUGCAUGGAAUAAUGGAAUAAGACUUCGGUCUGUUUUGUUGGUCUUAAGACCGUCGUAAUGAUUAAAAGGGAUUGCCGGGGACAUCCGUAUCGAUGCGUGAGAGGUGAAAUUCUUGGACCGCAUCGGGACGCCCAACUGCGAAAGCAUUUGUCAAGAAUGUCUUCAUUAAUCAAGAACGAAAGUCAGAGGAUCGAAGGCGAUUAGAUACCGCCCUAGUUCUGACCGUAAACUCUACCAACUAGCGAUGAGGUGGCGGUAAUUCUGCCUUGCCUCGGAGCUUACCGGAAACGAAAGUCUUCGGGUUCCGGGGGUAGUAUGGUUGCAAAGCUGAAACUUAAAGGAAUUGACGGAAGGGCACCACCAGGAGUGGAGCCUGCGGCUUAAUUUGACUCAACACGGGAAAACUCACCCGGACCGGACACUGUAAUGAUUGACUGAUUGAACGUUCCUUCGAGAUUUGGUGGUUGGUGGUGCAUGGCCGUUCUUAGUUCGUGGAUUGAUCUGUCUGCUUUAUUGCGAUAACGAACGAGACCGUAACCUGUAGAUAGUCGUGUCGGUAAUUUUCGCCGGCGGACUUCCUACUGGGAUAAGUGGCUCUAAGCCACAAGAUAAACGGCAAUAACAGGUCUGUGAUGCCCUUAGAUGCUCGGGGCUGCACGCGCGCUACACUGAUAUGAUCAACGUGCGCAACCUUGGCCGAAAGGUCUUGGUAAACCCUUGAAAACAUACCGUGUUUGGGAUCGGGAAUUGUAAUUAUUUCCCGUAAACGAGGAAUUCCCAGUAAGUGUGAGUCAUCAGCUCGCGCUGAUUACGUCCCUGCCCUUUGUACACACCGCCCGUCGCUGCCCGGGACUGAGUUGCUUCGAGAAGUGUGGGGA
rnacentral:rRNA from 1 species